rnacentral:misc_RNA from 1 species
GAUGAAGAACGCAGCGAAAUGCGAUAAGUAAUGCGAAUUGCAGAAUUCAGUGAGUCAUCGAAUCUUUGAACGCACAUUGCGCCCUGUGGUAUUCCGCAGGGCAUGCCUGUUCGAGCGUCAUUUCAACCCUCAAGCCCCGCUUGGUGUUGGGCCCCGCCCGCUGUGGCCGGCCCUAAAGACAGUGGCGGCGCCGCCUGGCCCUGAGCGUAGUACAUCUCUCGCUCCAGGGUCCGGUGGCCGCCUGCCAGAACCCCCCAACUCUGUGGUUGACCUCGGAUCAGGUAGGGAUACCCACUGAACUUAAGCAUAUCAAUAAGCGGAGGA